AUUGAACGCUGGCGGCAGGCCUAACACAUGCAAGUCGAGCGAGCGGCGGACGGGUGAGUAAUGUAUGGGGAUCUGCCUGAUAGAGGGGGAUAACUACUGGAAACGGUAGCUAAUACCGCAUACUAUCAGAUGAACCCAUAUGGGAUUCGCUAGUAGGUAUGUUAACGGCUCACCUAGGCGACGAUCUCUAGCUGGUCUGAGCGGAUGAUCAGCCACACUGGUACUGAGACACGGCCCAGACUCCUACGGGCGGCAGCAGUGGGGAAUAUUGCACAAUGGGCGCAAGCCUGAUGCAGCCAUGCCGCGUGUAUGAAGAAGGCCUUAGGGUUGUAAAGUACGUUCAGCGGGGAGGCGUUACCGGCAGAAGAAGCACCGGCUAACUCCGUGCCAGCCGCCGCGGUAAUUC
rnacentral:rRNA from 1 species